CUCAAACUGAUAUUCAAACACCUGCAGAGGUCUGAGAUACCUCAAGCUUUUCUAUAAACUGUUAAAAUCACUUCAGUGAUAGAAUGACACAUCCUAAACUAUGAUGUAAAUGUUUCUCAUGAGCUUUGUUUUUGACAGUUUGGAAGACACGAUGUUAGAUUCCUUAAGUUUGACAGUUUGGAAGACAUGAUUCCUUAAAUGUUGAGCCCCAGCUUUAUUCUGUCCAUCAUUAUGGAGAUUUAUGAGACAUUUGAAACUAACCAAAAAAGACUGUAGAAUGAUCUCAUCUGUGCUUCAGAAAACCCAAAGUAUUGUGAAGUUGAUCUUACAGGACUGUGAGCUCUCUGAUGAGGCCCUGAAACAACUUUGGCCAGUCCUGCCUCAAGUCCAGCUGAGCUGUAGUGAAGCUCUGCUGCUCCAGGUUCUGGCUUGUAUUAGUAAAGAUGGAGCCCAGAGAGUCUCUUUGAGGAGCGCUGAGGCUCUGUCACAGGAGAGCUGGACCUCAGUCACACUCAGAUGGACCCGAGAGCUUGUGAAGAGCUGGCACUGUUUCUGGAAUAUUCUGAAGGACUGA
rnacentral:lncRNA from 1 species